AUGGAUUCAGUCAGCUAAACUCCAUCAAACUCCUCAAUCAAUAUCAUCAAUAAGAUGUCGUGACUGCUUAGGCUUGGUUUAUUUUGUCAUAAAAGAAAGUUGGUUUCGUGGGUUCAUUGAUUAGUACACCUCCGGUGCUGGUAAGGCCGGGACCGUGGUCGUCCGUCUCCGGUUUGCCGGCCGAUAAGAUCUCUGAGAUUGACCAGCCAGCUGGGUUGGUUUGGCUAUUCUUUUCUAUUGAAAAGGAGUCAGCUGUCUGCGCGAGUCACCUUCUUCUAGGCUCCGCUGGACGA
rnacentral:lncRNA from 1 species